rnacentral:piRNA from 1 species
UGACUGAGACACAGGGAGGAACUGCUCU